rnacentral:rRNA from 1 species
AAGUCGAGCGGUAUAGAGGGGCUUGCCNUUCUAGAGAGCGGCGGACUGGUGAGUAACGCGUGGGUGACCUACCUNGAGGCCGGGGAUAGCCGCUAGAAAUAGCGGGUAAUACCGGAUGAGCUUGUUUUGUUAUGACGAAGCAAGGAAAGGGGCUCUGGCCCCGCCUUAAGAUGGGCCCGCGUUCCAUUAGGUAGUUGGCGGGGUAAGAGCCCACCAAGCCGGAUGAUGGGUAGCCGGCCUGAGAGGGUGAACGGCCACAUUGGGACUGAGAUACGGCCCAAACUCCUACGGGAGGCAGCAGCUAAGAAUAUUCCGCAAUGGACGAAAGUCUGACGGAGCGACGCCGCGUGAAUGACGAAGGCCGAAAGGUUGUAAAAUUCUUUUACCAGUGAAGAAUAAGCAGCGGAGGGAAUGCCGUUGUGAUGACGUUAGCUGGUGAAUAAGCCCCGGCUAAUUACGUGCCAGCAGCCGCGGUAACACGUAAGGGGCGAGCGUUGUUCGGAAUUAUUGGGCGUAAAGGGCGCGUAGGCGGUUUUGCAAGCCCGGCGUGAAAGGCAGGAGCUUAACUUCUGGAUUGCGCCGGGAACUGUGAGACUGGAGUCAUGGAGGGGGAGUUGGAAUUCCUGGUGUAGGGGUGAAAUCUGUAGAUAUCAGGAAGAACACCGGUGGCGAAGGCGAACUUCCAGCCGAUACUACGC